CCUACGGGUGGCAGCAGUAGGGAAUAUUGCUCAAUGGGGGAAACCCUGAAGCAGCAACGCCGCGUGGAGGAUGAAGGUUUUCGGAUUGUAAACUCCUUUUGUUAGAGAAGAUAAUGACGGUAUCUAACGAAUAAGCACCGGCUAACUCCGUGCCAGCAGCCGCGGUAAUACGGAGGGUGCAAGCGUUACUCGGAAUCACUGGGGGUAAAGGGCGCGUAGGCGGGAUAGCAAGUCAGAUGUGAAAUCCUAUGGCUUAACCAUGGAACUGCAUUUGAAAAUGUUAUUCUAGAGUAUGGGAGAGGUAGGUGGAAUGCUUGGUGUAGGGGUAAAAUCCGUAGAGAUCAAGAAGAAUACUCAUUGCGAAGGCGACCUGCUAGAACAUAACUGACGCUGAUGCGCGAAAGCGUGGGGAGCAAACAGGAUUAGAUACCCGGGUAGUC
rnacentral:rRNA from 1 species